CUGCUGGAGGCAGAGGUGCCUUGAGAGCAUCGGUCUGAAGACUCUGCCUGGGCACCCCCUUUAUGGUUUGGAUAAAGUGGGGUGACAGUGAGAAGAAUGUUUCCUGCUGUUUUACGGAUAGCCCAGAUCCUUCCUGAGGCAGGCCUGAGUACGCAAAGCAUGGUGGGAAGCGUCCAGCAAGAUCCUGUUAAUGGGACCCGGCCAGUGGAGGGCGGUGCUGACACAGAGAAGCAUAGAAGAUAUGAGGAAGGCUCAUAUCUUCCUCAGGCUGGAGGGUGAUGAGGGCAAGUCCACCUGAGAAGAAUGGAAGAGCAGAGAAGCUGACACACUGUUGGGAAGAUAUGUUCCUUUCACUGAUGUCCCUUCACGCAGUAGAACCGGGAACUUCUCAAACUUCUGUGGGAGUUUCUGAGAGCCAAGUCUCCUUCCUUGCCACCCUGAUCUCCAGGAGCCCUGGGACAGCCGCUGGACACUUCACCUAGCGUCACUGUUUUUACCAUGCUGGCAUCUUUGUUUUAGUGCCUCAAAUUCAUGCUUUCAAGCCCUAAGCCCGCUACAUCAGAACCUGAAUGCCUUUGGAGAUGGUGCUUUGAAAAGACGGGCAAGGACAGGUCACAUGACAUCGUGGGGAAAGUCAUCUGUAGCCAAGCCUGAGGACCUGAGUUCAAUCCCUCGGACUUACACGGU
rnacentral:lncRNA from 1 species